AUAGUCUCUGGGAAGGGAGUGUGACUGUGGGAUAGCAGGUAUAGUAGGGAGAGAUGGUGCCUAUAGUAACAGUGGGGAGAAUAGUCUGCGGGAAGGUUCCAUUGUAGAAAGGGUGAGUUAUAGGGUAUAAGGGAGUGAAAUCCUUGAGUUGUUGAGCUCAUAAAAACCCUCUCCAGUGAGACCACUUACUGUCGCCCCAUUCAGUUUUCUUUCUCAAGCUGUAAGUUGAAGGUGCAGAAGAGUAAGGAGGGAACAGGGCGAGGGGUGAUGUGGAAAAUGGGAAUCCAGAACAGUUACACCUUAGAGGCCACGUACUGUGGUUCAACGCUAGAGGUGGGCGGUGUGGAACCCAUUUCAGCACCAAAGAUCUGGAGUCCGUGGGAUAUCAUUUGUGUGAUACUCUGUUGGAUUUCUGCGACCCCCAUCAAACCAAGAACAUCAUCUUCCUAAAAGAACUGGAGGAAAUCCUGAUACUACAAGUAAAAGCCAGGAGUGGCCAACUAGACCCCGAAUCCCUGCUGGACAAUAUUCUCUCGGAUCUGGAUUCUAGUACUCUGCAUGUUCUGACAGCUCUGACUCUAACGCACCCCCUGCUCACCUCUUGGAAAUGGCUUUAAAGAUGAAGCCCAUGAAGAAGGUUCUGAAGACAAAAAAGGAGAGAAACCUGCACAGGAAUCUUCAGUUGAACACAAAGCAAGAAACCCAGGUGUCCGUUGUGUAUCUGGUCUUCAACCCCCGACGGACAAGUCAUAUCCACCAAGGUGAGAGACAGAUUGAUUUCAUUGCCGCACUCUAUCACAAUCACGUCACAAUCUACUUGUAAGCAGUGACUGUUUAUACUCUCUGCACUGCUGGUUCUGACUCCCAAAUAAUGUAGCAGAAGCCUGGCUGAUGAACAGAGCUGGAGCAUUGACCUGCUGGGUUUUGAUUGAGUUUUGCUGAGCUCUAGAGAUUGUUGCUGAU